rnacentral:rRNA from 1 species
CCUACGGGGGAUAGCAGUGAGGAAUAUUGGUCAAUGGCCGGAAGGCUGAACCAGCCAAGCCGCGUGAAGGACGAAGGUGCCAAGCAUUGUAAACUUCUUUUGUCAAGGGACAAAAUCAGGCUCGAGAGCCUGACCGAGGGUACUUGAAGAAAACGCAUCGGAUAACUCCGUGCCAGCAGCCGCGGUAAUACGGAGGAUGCGAGCGUUAUCCGGAUUUAUGGGGGUAAAAGGGUGCGUCGGCGGACUGUUAAGUCAGCGGGAAAAGCCCGGGGCUCAACCCCGGCGAGCCGUUGAAACUGGCUGUCUUGAGAUGUCGAGAGGUAUGCGGAAUGCGCAGUGUAGCGGUGAAAUGCUUAGAUAUGGCGCAGAACUCCGAUUGCGAAGGCAGCAUACCGGCGGCGAUCUGACGCUGAGGCACGAAAGCGUGGGUAUCGAACAGGAUUAGAUACCCCUGUAGUC